rnacentral:lncRNA from 1 species
AUGGCCCGGGAGCUGAGCCAGGAGGCGCUCCUGGACUUUCUGUGCCAGGCCGGGGGCCGGGUGACCAACGCCGCCUUGCUGAGCCACUUCAAGAGCUUCCUCCGCGACCCCGACGCGCCCCCGGGCCAGCAGCAGCGCCGCCGCGAGCUUUUCAAGGGUUUCGUCAACUCGGUCGCCGCAGUGCGCCAGGACCCCGACGGCACCAAGUACGUGGUGCUCAAGAGGAGGUACCGGGACCUUGUGGGGGAGGAGGAGGGGCUGCGGCGACCCCGCGACCCGCCCGCGGCCGCCGCCCCUGCAGGGGGAGCUGCGCCCGGCUCCCCGCUCCCCGCGCGCCGGGGGGAACACCCGCCGCAACCGCAGCCGGGGAGGCGGAUCCGGCGUGAGGAGGCGCCAGCAGGUGCCGCAGCCCCGGUCGCGGACGCAGGUUGCAAUGGACUCCCCGCGGGCGGCGCCCGGGAGGCGGCGCGGGGAGGCGGCAGGCCGAGGGGCCGCUCCGGACAUCGGUCGCCGGUGCCCGCGGCCGCGGUGGCGGCGGCUGCUCCGGACCGAGCCAGGUGCGCGGCGGCAGAGACGCAGGGCCGCUGCUGCUGGGAAUGCCUCCAGAACGGCCUGGGGGGGCUCCAGGACCCCGCCACCGCCAGCGCCAGCGCCGCGGAGAAGCCGGCCCAGGACGACCGCGGGGCUCUCAGGCCGCAGCUGGAAGAUGCGCCCGCGGAGCCCCCGCCAGGGCCUGCCGCGCCCCGCUCGCCUCCUGCCACCGUCGAGGCUGCUGCACCGCCCGCUGUCUCGUCCAGUCCCAGUCCCGCAGGAGAUCCGCCCGCGCCGGUGACCCCGGGCUCCGUGCACUACUCCACUCUGCAGCAGCAGCAGCAGCGCACUCGCGAGUGGGUAGCCAGACACCCCCAGGUACCCGAGACCCGGGACCACGGCCCAGUCCGAGCCUGGUCGGUGCUGCCAGACGACUUCCCUCGGCUGCCCUCGGGGCAGGGCUCCUGGGUCCAGGAAUCUGAGUCAGCGUCCGCGGAACCCCCUCCUCCUUCUCAGUCCCUCGUCGUUCCCACUGUUUCGGAAGUCUGGCCCGGGGAUUCUCCGCUGGCAGUCUUUCGCAGCAUUCGUUGUCAGCUGUCCCUCCAGGAUUUGGAGGACUUCGUGGAACAGGAGAGCCAUGGCAGUGAGGAGAGCAGCAGCGGCCCCAAAGAGUCCCCUGGAGGUUCCGAAGACGGGCAGCGUCUGGCCCUGGGAGCCCCAGAUGGGAGAAGGCUCAGGAAUCCAGCUGGGGCCCCUUCUCCAAAGGAGGCCAGGCCCACCAGGAGCCCCCAGGGCCUCAGGAAUGUAGGAGAUGCUCACACCUCUCAGCCGGUCUCCACAGGAGCUGAUGGUCCUGCAGGCGACUCCCAACCUUUAUCCUGGCCAGCUCCCAAACUAAGGAGAUCCCUAAGGAGGAGCUCCAGAGCGGGGAGAGCCAAAUUGUCCUCCUCUGAUGAAGAGUGCCUUCAGGAGGAUUUGCUGAAAAGGAGCCGUCGCCCACCGCGGCCCAGGAGACCCUCCAGAGUGGGAGCCACGUCCAGCCCAAGGGUGGAUGCUUCAUUGACAGUAGGACAUGCAGACAUUAAGGCUGCUGCUGCCGCUGAGCAGCAUCGUCCACACAGCUGGUGGGCCCCUGGAGGGGACAGGCCCGCGGCCUUGGUCCCCCACAGAUCUUCCGAGCACAAGUCAUCCCUUGUCCCCCUCGAUGCCAGGGAGCAUGAAUGGAUCGUGAAGCUGGCCAGUGGCUCUUGGAUUCGGGUGUUGAGUUUGUUCUGGGAGGACCCCCAGCUGGCUUUGCACAAAGACUUCUUGACCGGGUACACUGCCUUGCACUGGAUAGCCAAACACGGUGCUCUCAGGGCCCUUCAGGACUUGGUCUCAAGUGCACAGAAAGCAGGGAUUGCUCUUGAUGUAAAUGUGAAGUCCAGCUGUGGGUACACCCCGCUACACCUUGCGGCCAUUCACGGCCACCAGGGAAUCAUCAAAUUGCUUGUGCAAAGGCUGGCAUCUCGUGUAAACAUCCGAGACAGCAGUGGGAAGAAGCCUUGGCAGUAUCUGACCAGUAAUACCUCUGGGGAAAUAUGGCAGCUACUGGAGGCCCCACGGGGCAAGCCCAUUUUCCCCGCCUAUUCGUUGGUUCGUAGCUCUUCCCCCACCAGGAAGGCCAAGAGCCGGGAAGUAUCUCGACAUGUCACCCGAAAGACUUCCUUAGCUGCACUCCUCAAAAGUCAGCACACCAAAUGGAAGCUGGCCAACCAGUAUGAGAAAUGCCCCAAUCUGAGGGAAAGAGAAGAGGACAGUGACUGA